rnacentral:lncRNA from 1 species
UAAUAUGGGUUUCAAUUCAUAUUGGCUCACUUUCAUAUUGAUCAGUAGCCUGUUACUUUCACAUUCAACUUGCAUGGCCAUGGCUACUGAAGCUGGUUCUGUGUCUUACAAGUUGGAAAAAACAUGAAUAAUUAAGUAGAUUUUGAUAAAAGACUAGGCACCGAAGAGCAUUUACCCUAUCAUAACUUGACCACUACCAAAUACUUAAAUUAUUGGCGUCUGGUUUUGAACAAGUCUAUAAGUAAUUAAGAUAAUGGUCACCAUUCAUAUUAAAAUAUAUAUGGGCGGGUUAAUCUUAUAUUUAAAGGCCAUGCGUUUUCCUUUUACACUGCUACGGUAGAAACAAAAACUAAUAUGGGUUUCAAUUCAUAUUGGCUCACUUUCAUAUUGAUCAGUAGCCUGUUACUUUCACAUUCAACUUGCAUGGCCAUGGCUACUGAAGCGGCUUCUGUGUCUUACAAGUUGAAAGUAGUGUCCAAGAGAACAGUUGGAACUUUGCCGCCAUCUCCCAAGAAAAACCCUCCAAUUCGCUGGAGACCCGUUCCUCCUCCGCCAGGGUUAUAGCCGCUGUCAUCAUCAAUUGCUCCUCCAUAAUCAGUGCUAUCUUUCACUUUGAUAUCAUCUUGUCUUGUUAAUUUUGUAUCCUUUCAAUACUUUGUAAUAAGUUUUGAGAUCGACACCUUUACCCCCCACAGAUUUUAGGUUUUAUCACUUAUGCCAUUUAGUUUUCAAAAUGCCACGUUGCAUCCUUGACGUCAAUCUUUUAAAUAUGUUUGUUCUAUGGUUGGAAUGAGUUUUUCGGUGAAAAGUUUUGAUAUAGAGAAGGUAUCAUAGUAUUAUGAAAAUUGUUCAGUACAAGUAGUAAAAUCUAAAAACUCUUAAGGGGGAAGAUGUCAUUCUCCAUUUUAUUCUGAUGUACACAGUCUUGAUCUUCUUCAAUAAUUGGUGGAGCUACAUAAGUUUGUUCUGCUUUCUUUGUUUGAUCUUUUGUUGUUGCAAAGACUACAUGAGUUUAUUACAUACCUCCAAAUAAUUGGAAGACAUCUCUUCCCCUACAUAUAUGCAAGUGAUCACUUGAACUCACUUACUC